rnacentral:rRNA from 1 species
CGCUGGCGGCGUGCUUAACACAUGCAAGUCGAACGGAAAGGCCCUUCGGGGUACUCGAGUGGCGAACGGGUGAGUAACACGUGGGUGAUCUGCCCUGCACUUUGGGAUAAGCCUGGGAAACUGGGUCUAAUACCGAAUACACCUCGCUGGCCGCAUGGUCUGGUGGGGGAAAGCUUUUGCGGUGUGGGAUGGGCCCGCGGCCUAUCAGCUUGUUGGUGGGGUGAUGGCCUACCAAGGCGACGACGGGUAGCCGGCCUGAGAGGGUGACCGGCCACACUGGGACUGAGAUACGGCCCAGACUCCUACGGGAGGCAGCAGUGGGGAAUAUUGCACAAUGGGCGCAAGCCUGAUGCAGCGACGCCGCGUGGGGGAUGACGGCCUUCGGGUUGUAAACCCCUUUCAGCACAGACGAAGCGCGAGUGACGGUAUGUGCAGAAGAAGGACCGGCCAACUACGUGCCAGCAGCCGCGGUAAUACGUAGGGUCCGAGCGUUGUCCGGAAUUACUGGGCGUAAAGAGCUCGUAGGUGGUUUGUCGCGUUGUUCGUGAAAACUCACAGCUCAACUGUGGGCGUGCGGGCGAUACGGGCAGACUAGAGUACUGCAGGGGAGACUGGAAUUCCUGGUGUAGCGGUGGAAUGCGCAGAUAUCAGGAGGAACACCGGUGGCGAAGGCGGGUCUCUGGGCAGUAACUGACGCUGAGGAGCGAAAGCGUGGGGAGCGAACAGGAUUAGAUACCCUGGUAGUCCACGCCGUAAACGGUGGGUACUAGGUGUGGGUUUCCUUCCUUGGGAUCCGUGCCGUAGCUAACGCAUUAAGUACCCCGCCUGGGGAGUACGGCCGCAAGGCUAAAACUCAAAGAAAUUGACGGGGGCCCGCACAAGCGGCGGAGCAUGUGGAUUAAUUCGAUGCAACGCGAAGAACCUUACCUGGGUUUGACAUGCACAGGACGUGCCUAGAGANAGGUAUUUCCCUGUGGCCUGGGCAGGGG